AUGGAUGUAAAGACAACUUUUCUCAAUGAAGAGUUGGAAGAGGAGAUCUAUAUGGAUCAGCCUGACGGGUUUGUGGUAAAGGGUGAAGAGAGAAAGGUGUGCAAGUUGUUAAAAUCUUUGUAUGGUCUGAAACAGGCACCUAAGCAAUGGCAUGAGAAGUUUGAAAGAACUCUGACUUCUGCAGGAUUUGUCAUUAACGAGGCUGAUAGGUGUGUUUACUAUCGCCAUGGUGGGGGCAAUAGUGUCAUAUUAUGUUUGUAUGUGGACGACAUACUGAUCUUUGGUACAAACAUUAAUGCAAUUAAUGAGGUCAAGUCUUUUCUAUCAAAAAGUUUUGACAUGAAAGAUCUGGCAGAAGCCGAUGUAAUUCUAAACAUCAAACUUAUUAAGGAUGAGAGUGGGAUUACAUUAACGCAAUCUCACUAUGUUGAGAAGGUCUUGAACCGAUUCGGUUUUAUGGAUAGCAAGCCUUCUCCAACACCUUAUGAUCCCAGCGUGACACUCAGAAAGAACAAGAAAGAAACGAGAGAUCAAUUAAGAUACUCUCAAAUUGUCGGUUCACUCAUGUACUUAGCUAGCGCUACAAGACCAGAUAUCUCUUUUGCUGUGAGCAAACUGAGUAGGUUCAUGUCCAACCCGGGUGAUGAUCAUUGGCAUGCACUAGAAAGGGUCUUGCGCUAUCUGAGAGGUACUAUGAGUUACGGAAUUACUUAUUCAGGGCAUCCUGCUGUGUUAGAAGGAUAUAGUGAUUCAAAUUGGAUCUCCGAUGUUGAUGUACUUUACGCAACAAGUGGGUAUGUAUUUACUCAUGGUGGUGGCGCAGUGUCAUGGAGGUCUUGCAAGCAAACCAUAUUGACGAGGUCAACUAUGGAAGCAGAAUUAACUGCUUUGGACACAGCUACUGUUGAGGCAGAAUGGCUGCGUGAGCUCUUGAUGGACUUGUCGGUUGUUGAAAAACCUGUACCGGCUAUUCUUAUGAAUUGUGAUAACCAAACACGUGAAAAGACGUUUGAAGUCUGUCAGGAAGUUGAGAAACUCCGGAGUAAUAACUGUUACGUAUAUACAAACAGAUAA
rnacentral:rRNA from 1 species